UACGUAGGGUGCAAGCGUUGCCCGGAUUUAUUGGGCGUAAAGGGCGCGUAGGCGGCUCUGCACGUCCGUUGUGAAAUCGCCCGGCUCAACUGGGCGGGGUCAGCGGAUACGGCAGAGCUUGAGCAAGCUAGGGCAAUGGAAUUCCCGGUGUAGUGGUGGAAUGCGUAGAUAUCGGGAGGAACACCAGUGGCGAAGGCGGUUUGCCUGGGCUUUGGCUGACGCUGAUGCGCGAAAGCGUGGGGAAGCGAAGAGGAAU
rnacentral:rRNA from 1 species